UGGGGAAUAUUGCACAAUGGGCGCAAGCCUGAUGCAGCCAUGCCGCGUGUAUGAAGAAGGCCUUCGGGUUGUAAAGUACUUUCAGCGGGGAGGAAGGCGAUAAGGUUAAUAACCUUGUCGAUUGAUGUUACCCGCAGAAGAAGCACCGGCUAACUCCGUGCCAGCAGCCGCGGUAAUACGGAGGGUGCAAGCGUUAAUCGGAAUUACUGGGCGUAAAGCGCACGCAGGCGGUCUGUCAAGUCGGAUGUGAAAUCCCCGGGCUCAACCUGGGAACUGCAUUCGAAACUGGCAGGCUAGAGUCUUGUAGAGGGGGGUAGAAUUCCAGGUGUAGCGGUGAAAUGCGUAGAGAUCUGGAGGAAUACCGGUGGCGAAGGCGGCCCCCUGGACAAAGACUUACGCUCAGGUGCGAAAGCGUGGGGAGCAAACA
rnacentral:rRNA from 1 species